rnacentral:rRNA from 1 species
CCUACGGGAGGCAGCAGUGGGGAAUAUUGGUCAAUGGGCGCGAGCCUGAACCAGCCACGUCGCGUGAAUGAUGACUGCCCUACGUGUUGUAAACUUCUUUUAUAGAGGAAUAAAGUGAGGCACGUGUGCCUUUUUGUAUGUACUUUAUGAAUAAGGAUCGGCUAACUCCGUUCCAGCAGCCGCGGUAAUACGGAGGAUCCGAGCGUUAUCCGGAUUUAUUGGGUGUAAAGGGAGCGUAGAUGGGUUGUUAAGUCAGUUGUGAAAGCCUGCGGCUCAACCGCAAAAUUGCAAUUGAAACUGGGAGUCUUGAGUACAGGAGAGGUAAGCGGAAUUCCUGGUGUAGCGGUGAAAUGCUUAGAUAUCACGAAGAACUCCGAUGGCGAAGGCAGCUUACUAAACUGCAACUGACAUUGAGGCUCGAAAGUGUGGGUAGCAAACAGGAUUAGAUACCCGAGUAGUC